UACGGAGGGGGCAAGCGUUGUUCGGAAUUACUGGGCGUAAAGGGCGCGCAGGCGGCUGCUCAAGUCAGGCGUGAAAGGCCUGGGCUCAACCCGGGAAUUGCGCUUGAGACUGGGCUGGCUUGAGUGCGGGAGAGGAUGGUGGAAUUCCCAGUGUAGAGGUGAAAUUCGUAGAUAUUGGGAAGAACACCGGUGGCGAAGGCGGCAUCCUGGACCGACACUGACGCUGAGGAGCGAAAGCCAGGGGAGCAAACGGG
rnacentral:rRNA from 1 species